UACGUAGGUGGCAAGCGUUGUCCGGAUUUACUGGGCGUAAAGAGCGCGCAGGCGGUCGUUCAAGUCGAGUGUGAAAGCCCCCGGCUCAACUGGGGAGGGUCACUCGAUACUGAUCGACUCGAAGGCAGGAGAGGGUAGUGGAAUUCCCGGUGUAGUGGUGAAAGGCGUAGAUAUCGGGAGGAACACCGGUGGCGAAGGCGGGUCUCUGGGCAUUUCCUGACGCUGAGGCGCGAAAGCGUGGGGAGCAAACGGG
rnacentral:rRNA from 1 species